ensembl:lncRNA
GACUGUCUAGGGCAGGAACACGAGCAUGGAACACGUGUGAGAAAAGCCCUCCUUCUUGCUACAGGGGCCGUUGGUUUGACUAAAGCCUCGCACUUGAAAAGCACAUCUGCCAGGUGAUGUCAACGCCUGGCCUGCUCCGUUUCCUGUUGGGUGGUGAACAUGCCAUUCUCUCAUUGCCCUGGAAUGCUGAUUUGGUCCAGGGGCGAAGGCCAAACACAGAGGAAGAAUUCAGCAGAUGGCAGAAAACACUAUCUCCAAUACCCUGAAUAGUCAAUGUACCCCAAGUGCACACACUGUCACAACCGGAGUUCAGCUGAAAAGGGACAUUUGUCUUCCAAUUGGCAGGUUGCCACUUUCAAAGGUGCAUCGAUUCUUAAGCCAGCUUCCUGUUCAGAUCUGGGCCUGAGACCUGGGCGUCAUCAGGGACAAGUCUGUUCUGGGAGAACAGCUGCUGAGGCAGAAUUUCAUUUAGAUUACAAUGCACGUCACAAUUGUCGUUCUUUCCUCCUCUCUGUAUUUAAAAGGAAGCUCUGUGUUUCUGUGUGUGUGACUUUUAUAGCGGAUCCCCAGCCAAUAAAAAAAAAAAAACAAACCAAAAAACAAAAACCAAAAAACAAGAUGUUAGAAAGUCAGUGGAAAUACCUAACUCUAUGUGUGAUAGUUUGGAAUGCUAUAAACAAAUAUGCAUCGAACAUCUAGAAUCUGCCCUGAGCUUUUGCCUGUGUUAUCUUUUAAAAAGUCAGACGAGUCAUAAACCAAAACCAAAACCAAAACCAAAACCAAAACCAUAUUGUAACACGACUGAGAACAUUCUAGCAUUUAAAGUAAAACCAGAGGAGAGAGACAACUAAACAUACCCAUCCCCCAGCAUGGCUUCCUACCCACAGGCUCCCAGGGAGGCUUCCUGGGGCCUCCGUGCAUCUGUGCUGGCUAAUAUCGACCAACUGACUGAGGAUGGCAGAGGGGAGCUGGCACACCUCGGCGGCAGGUAUGUAAUUAAGAGGAGGUAAUUAAGGAUCAUUGCUGGGUGUGCUGACAGUAGGCAUGUAAUUAGGACAGAAGAAGAGUCAGAGCAGGAGCCAGGACAUGAAUGCCAAAGAAUGCUCGGAAACCUGGACCCUAAAAUCACUUCCUCUGCGGGAGGCGGGUCAUUCCAGACUUGUGCAUUCAGAGCUGUGCUGGCAUGGACCAAGGAUGAGCCCAGAAACGUUGCGUCCGGCCUCGGCAGCCUUAGCAAAUCAUCUAGUCAUUUCAUUGCUCAUCCCGCCCUCCCAGACACGGUCCAAGACAUUCCAGUUUUUAUGUGCGUUUGUAUUUUCUCAGGAAUAGACACAUUUACAGGAAGGGUUUAACCAUAGUUCAGUUUAUUUACGAUCCUCUGGUUAAAUGUUAAUAGCCUCAAGUCAAGGAUCUAACGCAAGAACUCGGAGCCUGGGAUUUUGCAGGCUGUGUUUAGUGACCGCUCAACAGCAUUAACAUCCAUCUGUUUAUUUCAUUUUGUUUUAUUUUGAAUUACACAUGUGGAGGGGAUUGGGAGGUACAUGCCCGUGAGUGCAGGUGCCCAUUGGAACCCAGAAGUUCAUGUCAGAUUCCCUGAAGAUGGAGCUAUAGGUGGUUGUCAGAUGCUUGACAGGGAUAAUGGGAACUGAAUUCAGGUCCCCUUUUGAGAUCAGAAAGGAUUCUUAACCACUGAGCCAUCUCUCUAGCCUCUCUCUUCAGGUCAUUGAAUACUAGGCACCAUUCUGAAGACUGUCCGUGAGCUAAUCCCUUUAAUCCUUAUGAGACCAAAGCCUGGCAGUUUCUGUCAGUAGCAUCUCCCUUCUUAAAGCGAACAUCUAGACAGGGUCACAUCACGUAAUUUGCCCUGGGUCACAUGUCUGAUGAGUGGCUGAGUUGGGAAUAUUUCCUAAAUGUGCUUUCCUGGCCACCGUACUGUGUCUUUAUCUUUUCGGAGUUUCCAUGGAAGUCCUUUUGUGACUGUUUCCUUAUUAGGGGUCAAAGUUGUUAGAUUAGAUCAUUAUUGUUUAUUUGUAUGAGGGAUGGGAUUCCCCCCAGUUUUCUAAGUCAUCUUAAUGUACCAGAUAAAGAACUUGAGCUGCCACACAUGUGGCUUCACAUGCCAUCUA